AGCUGCUUGGCUUGAGCUAUUUGUUCAAAUCGGAAUUAUUCCUAUGAUAAAUUAUUUAUUUUGCCCAAUUUCGUGGACUACUGGACGUAACAUUAUCAGUGUUUAUGGCCACUGACUUGUUAAUGAAUAAUGUUUGGUUUGCUCUGGGUCAGGACGCGCUCGACAAUCAUAAACUCGCCGCACCACAACUGGCACACGGGCUGAGAAGAGGAGGAGGAGGAGGAGGAGAAGAAGAAGAAGGUCAUGGUCAUGGACAAGUCCUCUACAACAUGAGGAAUACAAUCAGUGGCAGCUCUUCAUUUCACGACUACAAUCUGCAUGUAAGAAAGUCUACACCAAGUCCUCCCAUUUAAAGGCCCAUUUGCGGACUCCUACGGGAGAGAAGCCAUACCAUUGCUCCUGGGAGGGGUGCGAGUGGUGCUUCGCUCGUUCCGACGAGCUGACUCGCCACUUCAGGAAACACACAGGGGCCAAGCCCUUCCAGUGUGGUGUGUGUAACCGCUAUUUCUCCCGGUCUGACCACCUGGCUCUACACACAAAGAGGCACCAGAGAUAGGGAAACCUUCAUAAAUCUUAUUUUUUUAUUAGAUCGGAGUCAAAUGAAACAUUAUAUUUAAGUAAAUCUCAAAACAUUUCACAAUACAAUUGUGACUGCAACAUGGGUGUAGAUUUUCCAUGUAUUUAUUUUAGUAAAUACUACCAUGGUUAAAUGUUUUUAAUAAGAGCUCAAAGGUGGAUUGAGUCAAGCUAUAAUGACAAACAAGCUACUUUUAGUAUCUCUAUGGUUUAUCUACAGCAGUGUUUCCCAAACCUCUGCUCAAGUACCCCCAGCCAUUCCACGUAUUUGAUCUAUUCCGGUACUAGCACAUCUGAUUCAACGAAUCAUGUUUGAUGAUGAGUUGACCAGUUGAAUCAGGUGUGCUAGAACUGGAAUAGAUCGAAAAAGUGUAACAUUUGGGGUACUCAAUGAGAGGUUUAGAAAAUGUAAACCCUGAUCUACUGUAUCAUCGCUUCCUUUUCUACUGAGUAUUGGCACUAAAAGACAAUAUUUGACAAUGUAUUGCUAUUGACCUUUAAGUAUAACUACCUUUCAUUGCUGUAGACCAUGUACAAAGGGAAGUCAAAGUAUUUUUAAAUAUAUAUUGUUAAAAAAUAAUAUCACACAUUAUACUGAUUAUACUGAUUUUCUAAGUGCCUUUUAAAGCUAGACUCCUUAGUUGCUACAUCCAUUUUUGGACUCAUAAAUUAAUGACAUAUAACCAUUGAUUCUUGAGGUAUAUAACUUAUAAAUACCUCAUGAGCUUAGUUCAACUUGUUUUACUCAAUGUUUGUAAUCAGCAUAAAUGUGAAACACUGUAUAGUCUCCAAACAUGGUUAAAACUACACAUUUGAUGUCAUGAAUGGUCAGUCCUUACAUCCAUGUCUAUGCAUUUGAGGGGUUACAUUUCUCCAGCCCCAUCCCUUCGAUUUUUAGCAAAACAAACAGGAGUACGCUUUGUUAUUGUUUAAAUAAGGAUUCUACCUUUAAUGUUUAAUAAAUUAAUUAAAGAUGAAGUAAAAGACAGUCUGGUACACUGUAAAAAUAACUUGAUUACUGCCUUUCUUGUCAAUACAAAAAUGUAAGAUACUGUAUUUACUGUGUGUUGUAAAAUGUAUUUUUAUUCAUGAUAAUUUGAUUAAAUACAUUUAAUAAUAAGA